CCUCCUUUAGUUGGCACACAUGUAGUUGUUCAGUACUCAUGUGUGUAAUGGGUCGGAGGUAGAGAUAAGCCAGUGCUAUGUCUUCGGUGCCAGCAUAAUUAUUGUCUGCUGGUUCUAUCCUUAACCACUGGAACAUGA